CUUUGAAGCUAAAGAUCUGCACCCUUCAUACAAGCAUGGUCUCCGUCUAUCCUGCUGGAAAGAAUGACACAGUCUCAGGCCCUCAGAAUGCAGGUGGUCUAUGAGGAGCUCUGUUCAAAGUCAUUAUUUCCGUAGCAGAUUCUGGAUAUCCUGAGCUAGCGAGGAUCCGGAACAGCUUGAGGGUCGGCCAAUGGAGCCGACCAAGGCAGAACGGGAAUACAAAUCAAAUCUCGAUGAGAAAAAUCGCAGGAACGACACACCCAACAGGAUCUGGUACUGCCCUGAGCAAGAGCCCAAAAAGGAACACCAAAAAUCUCUCUACUUCAGGUGGACUCUCGUUUUUGGGAGAGGGGCGUGGCCACCAGUCAUCAGUGUGGCUGCGAGGAGUGAAGGUUGGGCUGCACUGACAGCACUGUGGUCGGUCAGGCUGGGUGGCUGUGUUGGUUAGAUACAGCAGGUUGGCCGCCAAGUCCCACAGUCUCACGGCGGCAGCUCUGCCCCGAUACCAGGCCACCCACACGAUCCUCCUCUGCACCCCCUCCCCCCCCCGCACCCCCGAUCCGCACUGGUUGGAGCGCCUGUAUCUCGCUCUCCCAGCAGUUUCCUGGUCUCUGCCCCCACUUCCCCAGAGGCCCUCGCUCAGGGCUGACCUGCGAGCUGAGGCUUGGACUGCAGAGGAGACAAAGAGAAAGGCCGAGCGGGGGUGUGCACACGCCGCGUUGGACUGCGUGGGACAUCGUGUCACAGCGGGGGCUUUGCGUGUUGGGUUCUGCCGUGUUGGGAGCUAGGAAGACCUCCGACGCCUGCCUGACUUGCUUUGAGGUGUUGACAAUGAUCACAUCAGUUCUAAUAUCAGCCGUUCAAACAGAAUGAAAUGGGCCAGAAAUGAUAGCAGCAGCAACAACAUUUUAACUGGAGGCAAAGUUGGGGGUUGGGAAAAAAAGUAUGUUGCUUAGGAACUGGCUAGAAAUGCUAGACUUCAGUAGGUCCAUAUGCAUAUUGACUGCUUGGCUGAGACAGCUAUGCCUUCCAUUAACAGGGUCGGCAGGACAUCAGAAAAAUUCCCAGCAGAUUUAAGGAGGAACAAGAGGUCAAUAUGCAGGCGGUGGAGCAAAGAGUGGACAAUAGGACUGUGAUCUCCAAACGGAUCAUCUGGAUUACUGCUGGACACAAUCGCUGUGGCUAGACUGAUCACACGUGGAGGAUCCAGGCCAUCACAUGUGCUCAAGGAAUGAACUGGAAUUUCAACUUAGGACAAGCGGCGUUGACCUCGCCGGGGAGCUGUUGACCCUCUUCCCUUCCUCUGACACUGAGCCAUGCCUGCAAUCAAGCCAGCCAAUCAGAUGCCACGUGAUCCUGUCCUCUGGUAGGAGCUUCAGCAAAAAUUCCGAUGGCUGCGGUGUCCAUGACGACGGCGGGUCCGUGUUACAGGCCUGUGUGGCUGCGGCAGCAUCUUCUGCCCAAAGCGGCGUGCCCCCACCCAGCGACCACCCACAGUCUGGUGAGGUGGGGGUUUCAUUAAGUCUCUGAGAGAAAGGAGAAGAGGGACGACUGCCCUAACAUGUCCAAGGGGAAUUCCACCAGGAAGGUGUGUUUGUGGAAACACCAAGGAUAUUAUAGUUAUGAUUUCUUUAGUUUUUAUUUUUAUAUUUUCAUUUGAAAUCCAGUUUAGUUUUCAUUAGUUUUCAGUGUAGUUUUAUUAGUUUUUACAUCAAAUAUAUAUUUAUUUUUAGGUUUUAUUUAUUUUAGUUUCAGUUUAUGUCUUAGUAAUUUUAUUUCUAGGGAUAUAGUGAAAGUUAUGGACCUAUUUUAUGUGUCCGAUCUGUGUCUGAGAGAAUCCUACAAGAAUACACAGAGCACUAAGCAGGGUGGCAUCUGAAAUGCUGAUGAGGGAUGUCAGAGAAACCGCCAUCCAGAAGUGACUCCGGCUCCACAUUUUAAAGUCCACAAGGGCCCCACAAUGGAGCAGGGGAUCAUGAGCGCCGAUGAGUCUGCGAGACUUAAGGGCUGCAUCCUAAGGGAUGAGCUCCAGAGAACCAAAAUGAGCAGAUGGGAGAGGGGAGAACGCAGACUGCUGGAAGAACGUCUCCAGUCUCUGAAGACCCAAAACUUCAAGUACCAUUUGUUUCAUUCACACAACUCAUUCAUUAACAGAGAUCUUACAGUGGAGUGAAAACUAACAGCUGCAGAUCAGCUCUACGUGGGGCAAUAACCCAAACCACACAAGCCUACUGAGAUGUUUCCUAAUAUCAUUUAAUACUGCAUGAAUUCCAAUUUAAUGGCUUAAUGUAAUGAUGCACCAAGGGAAAUGUCAUAGAAAUAGGUUAAUCCCCUUGAUAAUUUGUGCCUAUGAGAUAUUCUCCCUAUUGAAAAUGGUCACCCAUGUGAAUUAAUUAAGAACAAAGCUCAUCUUCGGUUUUCGAUUAUUCUUUCUCAUUUGUUCUUUUCAAACAUUAAAUUAUGACCCUAACUGGACUUCCAA